rnacentral:rRNA from 1 species
AUGAACGCUGGCGGCGUGCCUAAUACAUGCAAGUCGAGCGAACAGACGAGGAGCUUGCUCCUCUGACGUUAGCGGCGGACGGGUGAGUAACACGUGGAUAACCUACCUAUAAGACUGGGAUAACUUCGGGAAACCGGAGCUAAUACCGGAUAAUAUAUUGAACCGCAUGGUUCAAUAGUGAAAGACGGUUUUGCUGUCACUUAUAGAUGGAUCCGCGCCGCAUUAGCUAGUUGGUAAGGUAACGGCUUACCAAGGCGACGAUGCGUAGCCGACCUGAGAGGGUGAUCGGCCACACUGGAACUGAGACACGGUCCAGACUCCUACGGGGGGCAGCAGUAGGGAAUCUUCCGCAAUGGGCGAAAGCCUGACGGAGCAACGCCGCGUGAGUGAUGAAGGUCUUCGGAUCGUAAAACUCUGUUAUUAGGGAAGAACAAAUGUGUAAGUAACUAUGCACGUCUUGACGGUACCUAAUCAGAAAGCCACGGCUAACUACGUG